UUUUCGUUAUAAUACUACGAGUUCUUAGUGGACCUGAAUUUUAGCUCUUCCAAUGACCAGCUGUGCAACCUUCAGCAAAAUCCUUAGGUUUUCUGAGCCUCAGUUUCUCCUUGGAAACUGAAGGUAGCAAUGCCUACUUCUUAAGUAAGAAAUAAAGUAGAGCACAGCUUCUUGAUAUUACAAUUCAUAACAGUAGCAAAAAAUUACAGUUAUGAAAUAGCAACAAGAAUAAUUUUUUCUAGUUUGGGAUCACUACCCCGUGAGGAACUGUAUUAAAGGGUCAUAGCGCUAGGAAGGUUGUGAACCACUGCAUUCGAUGCUCUUUAAAGAUGGCUUCAGAGCUUUCUCGGAGUUAGGCUCUGCCUCAUUUUUAUCGUUUUUAUUUAGUAUAUGGUCGCACAUUCUCCUCUGGGGAUGGAGGGUGGGAAUGUGCACAUACAGUCAUGUGGGAUAAGUGUGAUUGACUAUAGAAUGCCUCCACUUAUGUUUACGUCCACUUAACAAUGUUUUUGAGAUUUAUGCAGGGUGGAAAGAGUUUCUAUGUGGUGUGACACCACUUGACUGAAGGCCAAGAAGCAGUCUGGUGUAAUGGUUGGCUCUUCACAGAGUCUGUCUUCAGAGCCCUCUGUCAAGGAUGAAGCUCCAGCAAACUCCAAAGCCGCAGAUAUGUGCCCCUCCUGUCAUGGAAGCUCUCAUUACGCCCUCCUCCCUUGGCUUGGACCAGGACAUUUUUCCUACUGAAAACACAGAUUAAUUCUUUUGUCUGAGGAUCUCCACAGCAGUUCUUGUUAACGAUGGUGAGUUUUCACAUUUUCAUGUCAAGACAGCCCUCAAGUACAUCACCUACUACUAAC